AUACGUAGGGUGCAAGCGUUAAUCGGAAUUACUGGGCGUAAAGCGUGCGCAGGCGGUUUUGUAAGACAGAGGUGAAAUCCCCGGGCUCAACCUGGGAACUGCCUUUGUGACUGCAAGGCUAGAGUACGGCAGAGGGGGAUGGAAUUCCGCGUGUAGCAGUGAAAUGCGUUGAUAUGCGGAGGAACACCGAUGGCGAAGGCAAUCCCCUGGGCCUGUACUGACGCUCAUGCACGAAAGCGUGGGGAGCAAACAGGAUUAGAUACCCUAGUAGUCAACGCCCUAAACGAUGUCAACUGGUUGUUGGGUUUUCAUUGACUCAGUAACGAAGCUAACGCGUGAAGUUGACCGCCUGGGGAGUACGGCCGCAAGGUUGAAACUCAAAUGAAUUGACGGGG
rnacentral:rRNA from 1 species